UUGAAUUCACGUUGCCGUUGUUUACGUUCGCGCUCUGCCGUUACGCCCACCAGGCGUCGACGCUUGCAGUUGUUGUCGUUGUCGUCGUUUCCGUUUUUCGUUCACGGCUGGCUGCAACAAACAACAACAGCAACAACAGCUGUGUGUAGUCCAAGCAACCAAAACAUCAACAACAUGUCUUAUCAGCCAAAGCGCACAGCGUUUUAACAUUAUCAGGAGUAGUACGCAUACACAUCCACAAUACACAAAUACAUGUACAUACAUAUGCAUAUGUGUGAGCGCGUAAUAGAUGAUCCACAACAAGCCAAGGACCCGACUACUAAAUACAAUACACAGACUCCACAGAAAUCAGCAAACGAUCUUGACUUCAUUUUUGUUUGUAGCCAGUUUUGGGCUAAUUAAUAAUAGAGUAUUGAGGGAAACCCCGCUUUAAAUACAAAUCAAACAAUAAUAAUAAUAUUUAAUCGGCAACCAUAAUAACAAUAGUAGCGAGUGCUGAUAAGGCGCUUAUCAGCGCAGUGACUUGAAUUGUUUUUAAAUAACAUGCAAAUACAAUGUAUAUCGAUAACAGAGUCGAUAGCACCUGUUGUCGCAUUACAGACUGUCGCGUUUUAUCGACUGCUAAUUGCAUGCCAGAUGACAGAGAAAUAACAGACCCACAUACACACACACGCGCACACAACGAAUAAGGACAAUCAGAGUGAACAGGUUACAAAGCGAGGGUGAGAUCGUCAUGUGUUGCCUGUGUGCGUGUGUGGGAGCAAGUGAGUACGACGCUAUUGUCGUACACUGAUGGAUUCACUCUAGUUGUUGUUUCUUUUUGUUUGCAUCGUUGCUGCUCUUGUCGUUUACUUAAACAGAUAACAUACAUAUGUACAUAUGUAUGUAUAUAAACAAGUAUAUGAAAUGCACUUGCUGUCGUUAUUAAUGCUGAAUAUAGCACAAAACUCGCGCGCGUGUGCGUGUGUGUGUGGCCACAGUGACAAGUUGCUGCUGAAUUUCUAUGCGUAACGGAGAGUCGAUAUUUGCUGUAAAAGAAAG